GCCGGGGUGCCCGAGUGGACUAAGGGGCUGGCCUGGAGAGCCAGUGGGGGUAAUCCCUGCGCGGGUUCAAAUCCCGUCCCCGGCG
rnacentral:tRNA from 1 species